rnacentral:rRNA from 1 species
GCUUGUCUCAAAGAUUAAGCCAUGCAUGUCUAAGUGUAAAUACGUCUACACUGUGAAACUGCGAAUGGCUCAUUAAAACAGUUAUAGUUUAUUUGGUAAUCGAAUUUACAUGGAUAACCGUGGUAAUUCUAGAGCUAAUACAUGCUGUAAAGCCCGACUUUUCGGAAGGGCCGUAUUUAUUAGAUAACAGACCAAUAUUCCUCGUGUCUAUUGUGGUGAAUCAUAGUAACUAAUCGGAUCGCAUGGGCUAGUCCCGCGACAAACCAUUCAAGUUUCUGCCCCAUCAGCUUUCGAUGGUAGUGUAUUGGACUACCAUGGCUUUUACGGGUAACGGAGGAUUAGGGUUCGAUUCCGGAGAGGGAGCCUGAGAAACGGCUACCACAUCUAAGGAAGGCAG